AGGACGAACGCUGGCGGCGUGCUUAACACAUGCAAGUCGAACGAGGUGCUUGCACCUAGUGGCGAACGGGUGAGUAACACGUGAGCAACCUGCCCUUGGCUCUGGGAUAGCCUCCGGAAACGGGGAUUAAUACCGGACAUGACCUGCCUCCGCAUGGGGGCGGGUGGAAAGUUUUUCGGCCAGGGAGGGGCUCGCGGCCUAUCAGCUUGUUGGGGGGUAACGGCCCACCAAGGCGACGACGGGUAGCCGGCCUGAGAGGGCGACCGGCCACACUGGGACUGAGACACGGCCCAGACUCCUACGGGAGGCAGCAGUGGGGAAUAUUGCACAAUGGGCGGAAGCCUGAUGCAGCGACGCCGCGUGCGGGAUGAAGGCCUUCGGGUUGUAAACCGCUUUCAGCAGGGGCGAAUUCAGACGGUACCUGCAGAAGAAGCGCCGGCUAACUACGCGCCAGCAGCCGC
rnacentral:rRNA from 1 species